CUCUCCAGAAAAGACACUUCUAUAAAUUUUAUAUAUUUUCCAUCCUGGACUUCCAUUUCUGACAUACAGCCCACAUUCUCUUGAUAUGGAAAGAUGGAAGGAAAAACAACAUUUCUAAAAAAUACCUUCUUUGUUACAGUUUCAAUUCAGAUUUAGUUUGGAGUUAGGCAAGACUUUGAACAAGGAGGUUCAAAAGCAGAUAUUAGUCACAAAAUACCCCAGAGGACUGCUAUAUUUUUAGUAUCUACGGAGGCAUCUCCAGGGCAGGAGCUCUUCAUUCUUUCUCAGUUUCCUGACCUCUUGAUUGGGAGAGUAAUCUCUACCCAACAGGAUGUUUUUAAUGAGAAGCAUUAAAAACAUCAUGACUGUGAGAAAAAUUGGGGUUUUUGGAAAAACACACAAUGAUAUUGUAUUUCAAACUAGGUCUUUAUAAAGACUCUGUUCUUCCAAUUCAUUAGACAUCUCUCUAUUCACAAGACCUAAAAAAUGAUAAUUACCCCUGACAUGAAAUUAGAGUUGAAAAUUGAAAAUAUAAGCUUUAAAUUAAGACUGCAGUACAGGAAAAGUUCAGUAAUAAACAGAGAGUUUACCAAAAAAAAAAAAAAAAAGGUCUUUACAAUAAAAGUUAUAGAAGAAAUAAAGUAUUUCAGCAGAAUUUUUAAUUACAUUUUUUCACAAAGUUUUCUGUAAAGGACCCACACCAAAUUUUAUCUCCAAAGACCAGUAGUGUUAACCAGUGAUUGAAUCUUUAUAUCAAUUAUAUCCAAAUUUCCCAGACUGCCUAAAAAUAUCAGUCAUUAAACUUGAUGUCAGCUAAUCUAAUUACAUCUCCAGGAACAGAGAUUUCUAUUUAUUUCUUUUGCCUUUUUCAUCUUCAUUUUUUAUCCCUCUUAAACAGCAGUUUGGGUCCAGAAAGGGUAAGGACUCUGUCUAAAAACUGUACAUGCACUUUCUCAGCUCUAAACAGGGAAAUACAUUCACAGGACACAUAACUGCAUUUUUUCUCCCCUGUAUGGGGAGUUUGGACCCCAUUUGCAACCUCUGACUCCAAAACCCUGCUACCUUUUCCUCCUGGUAGGCAUUAACAAAUAAACUUUGGUGCCUUUGUUCCAUAGUGGCUGAAGUGUGCAGUUCAUUGACCCAAAUUAGUUAACUGUUAAUUUUUGAGGGCAAAUUGCACACUGAGGCUCAUGCUUUCCAUGAGGGUGAGACUAAUUUUUUUUUUAAGCUGCCAAAAUAUUAUUUCUAAUUUUUAAUGACCUUAUAAUGGGUUCAGCAUACUCUGUUUCACAUAUUGAAGAGCAAUAGCAAAAUUAAUCCACUGCUGCCCAGCAUGUCUGAUGCCAAAGCAGUUAAAUUCACAUUUUUUGGAAGUAUUGAAUACACCCAUGGGUACAGUUGUACACAUUUGUACAAGUUAUUACCAUAAAUAAGAAAGAAAUCAUUGUAACAGUUGAGCUGACCUAUGAUCAAAUUAUCUGCUGGCAAACCCUACCAUAUAUCAAAUAACUUGCUUUUAUUCUUUAGGAAAAGUGAUGCUUGACAGAGGAGCAAUGGAUAAAAUAUUGGAAGAGAAAUAACCAAAAAUUCUCUGGCUUUACAAGAAGUAAAAAUUGUGCUAUUUUACAAAAAUGUAGAUUAAAAAAAUAUAUAGCCUGGGAGGAAAAAAAAAAAAGAAAACCAAACCACUAUGAUCUUCCCUCAUAAAUCAAAACUGAAUACACAGAUCCCAGGGAUGAGGAGCAGGUGGUAAAACGGCGUAAAAAUCUCUUUUCUGUACUUCCAGGGAGAACUAAUUUCAGGUUGAAAAGAAUGGGUUAUUUUUACUGCUGGUUUAGCCACAUGGCUCCCAGGUACCAAUUUUGUGCAGCAUUAUCCAUUUUUACUGUGGGUCAUUGGUUUCCUCUGCAGAUCUCCUUGAGACCGACGGAACCGACACGCGUGGAUUUUUCCAGUUGUGCUUUUGAGUGUGUAAUGAUGAUUGGGCAGGUUAUCUUUCCUUUAAUCUGCACAAGACCUGGCACAGAGUGCAGGAAUUUUAUCCCCUGCUGCAUAAAAUGCUCCUCCAAUCCCAGCACCUGAAAGAGAUGCAGGCACUGAUACCCCAUAAAUUGCCCAUGUCCCACAUUCCUCUAGGCCAGCCGUAGCUCUAAAAGCAAACCUGGCAGGCACAGGUAGCUCAGAAAUAUAUGGACAUAGGUGGAGAUUUGGUGUAGAAAAGCUGAUAGCUCAGAGUCACUUGAGAAUAAGAGCCUUGUGCUGGAACAGAAAACCUCUUUCCCUUAUCAACCUCCAUGCUUCUCCAGCUUCUGCCCCAAUUACAUAAAAUCAUCGGAUUUUUCUUAAAUUUUUAGUAUCUGCUCUAAAUCUUGAGGCACAUGUCCCAAGUCAAGACUUAAUGGUCUCAAGACUAGCACGUGGAAUACCCCUGAGAGCCAGGAGCUGGAAUGUCACCGAGUCCCUGGACUAGGCAGCAGCACAAGAGCCCUCCUGCCAUUGUCACAGAAGGCCCCCAGAGACAGCUCAAAACAGAAAUUUCAGCUGCAUUCAGACUCCCCGUUUUUCUGCACUUUUAUUUAUGUCUGUAAAGAGAGCACGGGAUGGCUGCUGAGACGUUUGCAGUGCUACUGCCAAGGCAGGACUGUGCAGUCCUGGGACCAAGGUGUGAGAGUUAAAUUCUUCUUGCUCAUGGAAGGUAACGUUCAACCCUCAGACAUGGGAAGGGAAAAGCAUCACGACAAAACAGCCCAGGAGAGAGCAAAGCAAAGCAGUGCAAGGCUGAGCAAGCAUUCUGCUUCCAUGAUCAGUGUGUUCAAUCACACAGCACUGGAGAAUUAAACAGUAUUCAGGAGGCUGAGUGCACUGAAUAGAAAUUCAUAUCGAGUUCAUUCUGUGCUAUCAGACAUGGUUUGUCACCACGCAAGGAAAUGUAUUUGAGCUACAUGAAGGCUGAUGCCUUAUGUUUUUUAAUAAAGUUGAGGACAGAUUACAAACCUUUGCCUUCAGCCCCAGCAGUGGAUGGAAGCUAUUUCCUUUGACAUACUGAAUAACUUGCCUUUUUUGAAGUUACAAUAAGAUAAUGUAAAAAGCUUUGAAUACUGCACAAUGUGAAGUGGUAAGGUGUUAAACUGCAGCAUCUGAAAGAAAAUACUGCUGGGUGGAAAAGAGAUAGGACACUAGAGCAAAAUAGACCAGCAGAAUUAAAUCCAAAAUGACCAGGUGUUACCAGUCUAAGGGAAAGAAUAGACUGAUGUUUGGUCCUUUAAUUAUGGUUUCUUGGAAAGUUCUAACAUUUUAAUACAGUGCUCCUGGUUGCUAUCUAUGUACUAGGAAAAAAAUCCAAAAAGCCAACCCUUCCAGAGCUGCCAAACCUUGGUUUCUCCUGGCCAUGCUCCUGAGCCACCAGGUCUCUUCCCCUCACCAGUGGCCAAGGGCAGGCUGGCCCAGCACAGGACAGGGACACGUGUCCCUCCUUUCCCAGGUGCAGGAGGGAUGCUGCAGGGGCUCAGCUGCACGGCAUGGGCACCAUCCUUCAAGGAGCCCGCUCUGGAGAACCCUCCCUAUGAACAGUGGACAUGGAAACUGAGUGAGGAUAGGCAUCAGGAGCACAGCUACUGACCCAGUGAAGGGAGUGGGAGAUUUUUGUCCCCAGGAAGUUCACAUCAGUAUUGGGAUAGAGGCAGGAAGGUUGGAGAUGUCACGGGAAUUAUAAGGCAUAGUUACUGACAAAAAUCUACUAAUCCCUUGAGGCACCAAGUAUUUUGAGACCUUUGGUAUGAGUUAUAUCCAGUCUGUCUAAAACUCACAAAGCUUAGAGGCACAGCUCCCUCCCAGAGGCAUCUGUUUUGUUUUGGAGUUUUCCUUUUUACUAUUGCACAGGCUUUCAUUUAAUUUCUUAAUUUCAGCCAGUGUUGAUGCUCUCCUAAGAGCUUUGGAAUACUGCAAAGAAAGACUUUGCAGAAGCAGCUUUCAGAAAGCCAUUUAAAGAUCUUUAUCCAUCUCAGUGGAGCUGGCAUCCUCCCACCACAAAGCUUUCCAAACACAAACACGUGUGUUUUUAUGGUGUCUCAGAAGGGGCAGGCCAGCCUCCAGGGCUGGCUCCUCGCAGCACUGAGGAGGCUGCACAGCAGAUGUAGGGAGCUAAAUCAAUCCAGUUGAUUCCUGAGCAGUGUCAUGGCUGUAAAAUCCUCCACGAGGAACAACGUGGAAAGCAGUUGUAUUUGUGCAUUCAUCAUGCAUGCUGUGACAAAUGACAGCUUUAUGGUUAAAUGCACUUGAAUGGAAGGUUAGGGUUCAUCUCUCUCCUCUGCCCUAGACUUCAUAUAUCACCCCAGGUAAAACUAGGACUCAAAUAAUACCUUGAACAGCAGAUUUGCUUUCCCCUGCCUUGUAUUUUCAAGUGUGUAGUAGCAAUUCUUCCCAAGCAUGUCUCUUUAGAUUAGGCACGUACGCCCGGAGGUUUGCUUGGGGCUUGGAGCAAGGGAGGACUCAGGGCUGGCAGGGACCCUGGCACUGCAGUGAAAGCAAAACCAGGAGCACAGAGAGCAGGCAGCACCUGAGCUGAGGCCAGCCCCAGUGAGGAUGGCAUUGUGCUGUCCCUUUCUGGUGCUGAGCACUUCCCUGGGUCAGAGCUCCUCCAAGAAACCAGGCCCUUACACUGUUUCAGAACUAAGAUUUAAUUAAGGCAUUGACAGUUCCUGUGGCAUUAGACAGAUAACAGACGUAUUUUCUUGUUUAAAUGUGAGUUUCAAAAUACCCAUAAAUCUGUGAGAGGUAAGCACACGUAUUCUGUGCAUGCCACGAGGAAUGCAAUGGCCAGUAAGUUAAGGCUGAAUUAACUGAAACAGUAAAAUCAUUAAACCAAAAUGCUUCUGCCAUUCUUGAAAUACAGGUGAGAUUCUUUUAUGAAACCUAUGAACCUUUAUGAAACUUAAUACAAGCUCUCAUGAAAAUCAGAAGUCAGUGAAAAGAUGGGGAUAUUUUCUAGCUGACCAUUUAGCACUUUGAGAGGUUGUUUGUGUCUCCUCUCCAUUAUCUUUGCAUGUUAUGAACAAAUGUAUUUCUUACAUUCAGAGGUUCAUCAGUUCCUUAUUCAGUCAUGUUUAUAUAGCCCUCAAAAAACUAAAGAACUGUGCAUGUCAAGUACAUGAAGAUUUCUAGGAAGAGUGACCUUUCAUGGAGCUGCUCAUUCCUUGAUGGAUAAAAUAAAUUCUGAAUUUAUUUUUUCCCAGCAUGGUGAAGAUAAGGUGGGUGCUGGAUAAUGAUUACACAGAGCCUGGGCUCCAGUAGCACUGUGGGCAUGAUGGCAGCUGCAGGAUGCAGAGGAAUGCCCUCACAGGAAGGCAUGCAAGAAAAGGAGGCUAAUGGAAAAGGUGCUUCAUACAGAGGCCCACAGUGAUUGCCAGGGUGUGAAACCAUUCCAACAUUCCCCUUUGGACACGGGAUUUCACAGACAUCAGCAGAGCAGGUCACUCAAGGUCCCAGGUUUGUGACAUGCUCCUGAGAGUUAAACAGAAAAUAAAUAUUCCAGUUCUUACCUGCUGCCCUUCCAAAUAGAGCUGGAAGCAGUAAAUAGUCUCAUCUGUAUCUGAUCUGAUUUGCAUUGCUGAGAAAGUAAAUCCUAUGAGAGAGACAGCUAAGCAAAAAAGAUGUGCUACUUUCUUUUUGUUCAAUGUUAUUCCACGUUGGAUGAGGAUAUACUGUGCCACAUCUUCCAUUUAAUUACCCUCCUCAGUUUCUCUGCUCCCAGAUAUUUUCAUCCAAGGUCCUAGAAGUGGUUACAGGUCUACAAUGUCAUGCCUGAAUAUUAAUGGACUAAGCUACAGGAUAAUGGGAUACUUCCCCCAUGUCUUGGAAUGAACAAGGAAACCAGUGAGUUUACAAGCAUCAGCUGAGAAAAAACAAAGUUGGACAGCACCCAAGCAGAGCUGCACAGGAGGAGGAGGAGGUGCAGCGCCAAGCACAUCAGGAGGUGAGGUUUAGCUCAACCAGGUGACAAGUUGAAGGAUUCAGGACACUGGAUGGAGAUGAACUGAGACUGAGGAGCAGAUCCUCCUGUGUUCAGCAUCCAGUAAUGUGUACAGGAUGCUGGUGAGCUGCUUUGGUCCCUGGGGAUUCCAGGAGAACCCUGACUCAGGCCAUGGCCUCCUGCCAGGGCAGAGCUCAGCCUGCCUGGCCCCAGUGGACUGUGGCUGCUCCCAGGCUGCAGAGGUACCCUGCUGCUGGUAGCUGAGGGACGAGAGUGGGACUGGGCACACAUCAGGACCCCAAGGAGUCACACCCCCGUGGUUCACUGUCCCAUGGCAGCUCCGUCCAUCACAUCCCUUCAGUCUUAUUGCCUAGAGGUCUCGAUUCAAUAAAGGCAGCAAAGAAGAAAGCCAUGGUUCCUUAGUCUCUGAAUUACUGCUGGUAGAGGUGCAAAUGGAAAAGAUUUCUUUACAUAAUUAGGUUAUUUUCCAAAAAGUUCCCAAAAAUCAAGAAUUUUGCACAUGAGAGCAGCUGAACUUGUGUAUUCCUCCCAUGGCCAAUCUUUACAGACUCCCAGCUAGGAAGAUUUCUAGCAAGGACUGGAUAAGAAUUUGCACAGCCAGAUUUCAAACCUUUUUUAGUGCUUUGAUGCCAGCCAUCAGGGACUGGUCUCCACUCCCUCCCCUUUUCCCACAGCAAUGUGGCUUUGCACUCCCCGUCCCAGCUGUUGUGCUCAAGGCCUUGCGCUCUGCUCAGCUGCCUGCCUGCAAGUUUGGGAGCGAGAGGCACCGCUUUGCUGAGCAGCAGUGAGGAAAGCUCUCCCCCCAGGAGGAUUCCUGAUGGGAGAGCCUCACUGCAGGACACCUGGAUAUAUCUGUACCCCAGUCAAAACCCAGGCUUAGUUACUGCUAUGUGCAAUACUGUAACGUGUAAAAAGAAAUGACAUAUAAAAUAUUGUACAAGCAUGUGGAAGUGCUGCACUCAGAGUGCUUCUUUAAAACUUCAGAAGGCUCCAAGCACCAGCACCUUGUUAUUUAAAAGUCCCUCAUACCUUUGUUAUGUCCCUCCCAUGGGCAGCUUUGGCUCUGUCUCUCCUUCUUCUCUCUUCCUUCUGCAGUUCCAGCUCACUCCUUCCUGUCCCUAGCACGGCUGUCUAAUCCUGUCUGUCCCUUGUACAGCAGCUUUCCUUAUCCUGUCCUUUGCUUCUGUCCCUUUCUCCUCACAGCAGACCCCAGCUGAGCUCCCUCCCAGCCAGCUCACUCUGUCACACCUUCAGCUGGGAGGGCAAGGCUGUUCCACUCUUGGGUAAUUAAUACAGCUAUAAUAUAUCAGGGCUAAGAUUGCCUUCAGCACUCUCUUUGUCUCCCCACACAAGCAAAAUAACGAAAAAGUUA